rnacentral:rRNA from 1 species
AGCAGUCGCCGCGGUAAUACGUAGGGUGCAAGCGUUAAUCGGAAUUACUGGGCGUAAAGCGUGCGCAGGCGGUUUGUUAAGACAGAUGUGAAAUCCCCGGGCUCAACCUGGGAACUGCAUUUGUGACUGGCAAGCUAGAGUCUGGCAGAGGGGGGUGGAAUUCCGCGUGUAGCAGUGAAAUGCGUAGAUAUGCGGAGGAACACCGAUGGCGAAGGCAGCCCCCUGGGCCAACACUGACGCUCAUGCACGAAAGCGUGGGGAGCAAACAGGAUUAGAUACCCGCGUAGUCCCUGUCUCUUAUAC